rnacentral:rRNA from 1 species
AUCAGCUUACGCAUCAAGGCAAUUAGCGCAUUGGCGAGCCUAAAAACCGCCAUAGUCGACGUUCAAUUACUUGUGUGGGGUGCAAUGUUGUAUCAGCUGGUUAACAUCAAUUUCGACUGUCACAAAAAGGCUAUAGGGAAACCUUCGGCGGAAUUUGGUGGUCGGGAUUGAGGUUUGCAACGAAUACCUUUAGGGCUGCUCAACUGGUCUGGCCACUCCCUCUUUAGUUAUCAUUUAUAUGAUGCGUUACGGCUGACUGGGAGUGGUUAGUCAGGCGGUGCAAAUUCGUUAAGGAUGUUAACGAAAUGGCUUU